UACGGAGGGUGCAAGCGUUGUCCGGAUUUAUUGGGGUUAAAGGGUGCGUAGGCGGCUGAUUUAAGUCUGGGGUGAAAAGCCCGUUGCUCAACAACGGAACUGCCCUGGAAACUGGUUAGCUUGAGUACAGACGAGGGUGGCGGAAAUGGAUACUGUAGCGGUGGAAAAUGCAUAGAUAGUAUCCCAGAACCCCCGAUUGCGAAGC
rnacentral:rRNA from 1 species